rnacentral:rRNA from 1 species
AGCGAACGCUGGCGGCAGGCCUAACACAUGCAAGUCGAACGAACCUUUCGGGGUUAGUGGCGGACGGGUGAGUAACACGUGGGAACGUGCCUUUAGGUUCGGAAUAACUCAGGGAAACUUGUGCUAAUACCGAAUGUGCCCUUCGGGGGAAAGAUUUAUCGCCUUUAGAGCGGCCCGCGUCUGAUUAGCUAGUUGGUUGAGGUAAUGGCUCACCAAGGCGACGAUCAGUAGCUGGUCUGAGAGGAUGAUCAGCCACAUUGGGACUGAGACACGGCCCAAACUCCUACGGGAGGCAGCAGUGGGGAAUCUUGCGCAAUGGGCGAAAGCCUGACGCAGCCAUGCCGCGUGAAUGAUGAAGGUCUUAGGAUUGUAAAAUUCUUUCACCGGGGACGAUAUGACGGUACCCGGAGAAGAAGCCCCGGCUAACUUCGUG